GGGUGCGAUCAUACCAGCACUAAUGCACCGGAUCCCAUCAGAACUCCGCAGUUAAGCGUGCUUGGGCGAGAGUAGUACUAGGAUGGGUGACCUCCUGGGAAGUCCUCGUGUUGCACCCCCCC
rnacentral:rRNA from 1 species